UUAAUUACUUUGUUUUAGGAUCUUUCAACUUAACAUAACGCUUUAGAAAUAAAAGGUGGACCUCUGUAUGGUCUUAUUCAUUCUCUCAACAUUAGACCAUUUGGCUGUGGGACAAAUAAUUCAUUCAGUCUGGAGUAUUUAGCCGACAUUUUUUUAUUGAUCUGUAUUAAGACAAACAUAGCUGUGAUUGACAAAACAUAACAUAUGUGUAUUUUCACAUGAAGGCUAUUUGGAAAGUAUAAAAGCAACUUAGCUAGAUGUAAAAUGAGCGACUGAAUUUUGUGUUUUGUACAGUGGUUAAGGUUGAUUUAAUGCUCGUUAAAGGUGCACCUUUGACGUUGACGUGAGUAAUAUCAGCUAUUUAACAUGAGCUAACUGUCGAACAAACCGUAGAAAUAGCACCAUACACCGAGAAAUAUGACGCCUGUACAGUCCACAGUGAUGCUGUGAGCAACUUAUCUUUGGCUGGUAAUUUCCUCGUCACUGCAUCCUGAGAUUUUACCAUGAAGAUGCUGGAACUUCUAGAGGAGAAGCUGCUGUAUGCUACAUCAGGGGAGGACUGUGAGUACAGAAGCUCCAGUUCAAGUCCAGACCCAGCACUGUGGAUUGCCUCAGCUCACUUGGUUUGACUGGAUAUUCUCACUCAGAGAUUUGAACUUGGUGCAGCAGCAACAGAGGAAAUUCAGAAGUGGAUAUUUCAAUAGACAAGAGAAGGAUGCCGACUACCUACACCUCUGUAACUAAUUAAUGGUUAGGGUUAACGCUUUGUUUAGGAUGUCCAAAUGAGUCAAAGUCAAAGCAGAGUCCUUAGUUGUGAUAGUUGUGCAAACUUUGUGUGUGUGUACUUGGGUUCUUGUAUUUGUUACCUCCUUAGGAACAUUUCUGGCAUAAACACUGACUUUGUUAGGACCAGUAGUCCUCAUGGAGACCAAACUGGUUAUGUUUAGAUAAGCUAAGAUUUGAAUUUAGUUAAGCUAAGGGACAACGCUUUGGUUACUGUAGGUUGUCCAAAGGAAUGUGGUGUGUGUGUUUUUGUGUGUGUGUUUAUGAGAAAAAAAAAGAAAAGAGAAGUUGGAGGACAAGCCACUGUAAUGUGUAGUCCAUAUGUGGCCUAAACAUCUGGAUAUGUUUUUCCUGGUUAGCUGCGGUGGCUGCCACUGCCUGCAUGUGUGUAUUUUGGUAUUUUACAAGUAUUACGCUAGUAUAUUUUGCAUUUAGUUUAUUGUUUGUUUGUUUUGUGAGAUUGAGAUGAUACCCAGCCAAUCAAAGAGUAUACGUUUUCUUGUUACAGCAGGUUUAAGCUACACCACCACACAGUUUCACUGUGGCUGUAAAACACACAGUUUUCCUAAACUGUUUCCCACCAGAAUGUAUACUAAGACAUACAAGUUGUCAAAACACUUCAGUGUGGUGGCAGUUCAAUUAGGUACUCUUUUGAGUCUUUGGAAAUGAAUGACAAUCGUCUACAGCAAUUUAAAGUACAGUUUUGAGGAAACAUUCUUUUUGUCAUCGUUACAAACUUUGAAAUAACAGAAUAACACGGUGUUCCAGAAAAUAAAGAGUGGUAUAUACUGAAUAAGAGAGUCACUUCAAAGUCACACAUGAUUGUACAGAUGUGCGUUUAGUUCUUUAAGCAACUCGACGGACACAUCUCCAGGGAAGUCUUUUUUGUGUUAUAAAAAGUUGAACAAUUUCAUGUUUGUGUUACAAAAAUAAAAAAUGUAACAACACACACUCAGUGGUAGAUGUGAGUGUAUGUGUUUUUGGUUUCCAAACAUUUUAGAUGACUGCGUAAUUACUCUGUAUUUAACUGAAAAAGGUAGACUUGUUAGUCUCACAUAUGUUUUAUGUCCUGCUGAAUGCUGA